rnacentral:rRNA from 1 species
UACGGGGGGGGCAAGCGUUGUUCGGAAUUACUGGGCGUAAAGGGCUCGUAGGUGGCCAACUAAGUCACACGUGAAAUCCCUCGGCUUAACCGGGGAACUGCGUGUGAUACUGGAUGGCUUGAGUUUGGGAGAGGGAUGCGGAAUUCCAGGUGUAGCGGUGAAAUGCGUAGAUAUCUGGAGGAACACCUGCGGCGAAGGCGGGUUGCUGGGCUGAUACUGACGCUGAGGCGCGAAAGCCAGGGGAGCGAACGGG